rnacentral:sRNA from 1 species
AUACCCUAAAGCAAUGAGUGGGGAAGACAAUGAGGAGUAAAAAUGGUAGAGAACCGGACGCGAGAAAAAAACUUACCUGGACUGGACGGAGUCAACUCAGGAUCAAGAAAACGAGUGGCCUAGGCUAGUGACUUGCUUAGCCUAAGAUCUUCCCAAGUGGAAGAGCCUAUGUACGUCAUUGUUUGUGGAAGAUGGGGUUUGGGUUCGCGCAGCCCCUAUCAUCUAUAUCAGUCAUAAUAAUUACAUAUGUUCCAUAAUAAGAUAAGUUUGGUGGUGUUGUCUAAAUAAGUGUGGAGAGUAACAGUUUCCUGAUUUAUUAGUUUGGUACCAGUGGUCCUACAUCGGAAAUAGAUACCAAGUUUGUAACGAUGUAUGUUUAUUACUUUGUUAUGUUUUGAUAUGUUUUGUUUGGCCGUAUAAAUAAAGAGGCUAACCUUCCUUGAAACUCAUCUUUGCGCUUGGGGCAAUGACAUAGCUAAUGAGGUUUUAAACGAGACGCGUCUAUUGAUGGUUGACAACCAUUUCCACAACCCCAUCCUAGGCCUAAGCUUGUCUUUGGCCUUUGAGAAUUUCGAGACCAACACUAGAGUACACUUUAUAACCUCUCAAGUUCCUGGUUAUAAACUUAAAUUUCCAGGAUUUGGGACACUUAAGUAACUCAGUCACUUCGCACAUACCAUUCAAGCGGAUAUAAUCUGGAUUUAUUGGCUUCUCAUAGUCCCAACCAUGCAUCUCUAACUCAAUCCCUGUCUUUUUGAUAUAGGAAACUAGGCAUUGAUAUAUGGUUAGAUACGUGGCAAUACAUGAGUGGAGACAGUAGCUGUGAGACGUGGCAAGAGAAGAUUGGUCGAUGGGAGUGUUAGAGGAAGAAUCGAGAUGCAGAGAUAUAUAGCUAAUGAAGAUCAUUUGCAGAAGAUAAGAAGAUUUUGGAUUUGUUGUUUAUAGUUUCCUUUUGGAUUCUCUCUUAGAAUCGUUCCUCAUCGUUCGCCGGAGUUUCAUGUUGAACUCUUGUAGAUGAGAAGUUGAUAUCGCGUUUCAUGAACGUUGUAUCAAUCUGUCAUUUUCAUUAAUCGAAGCAUUCUAUUUCGUUACUCUGUUUUCCGUUAUCACUUUUGAUUAAAACCAGAAUCCACUUGACUUAUCUCAUGAAGUUGCUUAAUGAUCAUUCCUCUCUGAGAUUAUAUUGUUCAUUUUGUGGUAGACGUGGCAG